GGCUCUAUGGCUGAGCGGUAAAGCGCUAGGCUUCCGAAGCGGUCGUGCCGGGUUCGAAUCCUGGUGAAGACU
rnacentral:tRNA from 1 species